AGNCCAAGCUGUGUUCACACGGCGAGACCGCGGGCGGCUCAUUAAAUCAGUCGUGGUCCAAAUGGGCCAGUGCAAAUCCUACUUGGAUAACUGUGGUAAUUCCAGAGCUAAUACAUGCAACUGAUAUCCCGAAGGCGGUGUUGGUGCUUGCUUGUCUUGCGCUGGCGCUGCUCUGACGGAUGCUUUUAUUAGACCAAGCCGCUGAGGACUUGAGGGUUCGCGCUCUCUUGUUUGACUCGUGUGAUGGUGACUCUGGAUAACCAAAUUCUGACAAGCGCACGUACUUCUCUUCUGAGCGAGACGGCGCUGCCACUUUCGAGUNUCUGCCUUAUCAGCUAUCAACCGUUCGUUAUGCGCGACCGAUGGCUUUGACGGGUAACGGGGAAUCAGGGUUCGAUUCCGGAGAGGCAGCCUGAGAGACGGCUACCACGUCCAAGGACGGCAGCAGGCACGCAAAUUACCCAAUCCCAGCAAAUGGGGGAGGUAGUGACGAAAUCUAACGAUGCGGGCGCCCUUUCUGGGGCCCCGCAAUCGGAAUGGGCACUUUCUAAACAACCUGUUGAGAACCUACUGAAGGGCAAGUCUGGUGCCAGCAGCCGCGGUAAUUCCAGCUUCAGCAGCAUCUAUUAAAGUUGCUGCGGUUAAAAGGCUCGCAGUUGAAUGUCUGUAUCGAGCGCAGGUCAGGUGGACGUU
rnacentral:rRNA from 1 species